CACGCCGUAAACGAUGUCGACUUGGAGGUUGUGCCCUUGAGGCGUGGCUUCCGGAGCUAACGCGUUAAGUCGACCGCCUGGGGAGUACGGCCGCAAGGUUAAAACUCAAAUGAAUUGACGGGGGCCCGCACAAGCGGUGGAGCAUGUGGUUUAAUUCGAUGCAACGCGAAGAACCUUACCUACUCUUGACAUCCAGAGAACUUUCCAGAGAUGGAUUGGUGCCUUCGGGAACUCUGAGACAGGUGC
rnacentral:rRNA from 1 species